AAAUCAAACUGUCUAGUGGUUAUAAUUCUAGAAGAUAUUCUACAUGCUACUGAAAGAUCCCCAACGAGAGACCCUUACUCAAGUCUCGGGAAAAUGCAGACCCCAGACACAAAGAGACAA
rnacentral:pre_miRNA from 14 species